rnacentral:rRNA from 1 species
GUAGGUGGCAAGCGUUGUCCGGAAUUAUUGGGCGUAAAGCGCGCGCAGGGCGGUUCUUUAAGUCUGAUGUGAAAGCCCACGGCUCAACCGUGGAGGGUCAUUGGAAACUGGAGAACUUGAGUACAGAAGGGGAAAGCGGAAUUCCACGUGUAGCGGUGAAAUGCGUAGAGAUGUGGAGGAACACCAGUGGCGAAGGCGGCUUUCUGGUCUGUAACUGACGCUGAGGCGCGAAAGCGUGGGGAGCAAACAGGAUUAGAUACCCUGGUAGUCCACGCCGUAAACGAUGAGUGCUAAGUGUUAGGGGGUUUCCGCCCCUUAGUGCUGCAGCUAACGCAUUAAGCACUCCGCCUGGGGAGUACGGCCGCAAAGGCUG